rnacentral:rRNA from 1 species
UACGGGGGGAGCAAGCGUUGUUCGGAUUUACUGGGCGUAAAGGGCGCGUAGGCGGCGCAACAAGUCACUUGUGAAAUCUCCGGGCUUAACUCCGGAACUGCCAUUGAAACUGUUUAGCUUGAGGACGAGAGAGGUGAGUGGAAUUCCCAGUGUAGAGGUGAAAUUCGUAGAUAUUGGGAAGAACACCGGUGGCGAAGGCGGCUCACUGGCUCGUAUCUGACGCUCAGGCGCGACAGCGUGGGGAUCAAACAGG